rnacentral:rRNA from 1 species
GUUGAACGCUAGCUACAGGCUUAACACAUGCAAGUCGAGGGAGCGGCGCACGGGAGAGUAACACGUAUCCAACCUGUCCUUUACUCGGGGAUAGCUUUUCGAAAGAAAGAUUAAUACCUGAUAUAAAGGAUGGGGAUGCGUUCCAUUAGGUUGUUGGUGAGGUAACGGCCCACCAAGCCUUCGCUGGGUAGGGGUUCUGAGAGGAAGGUACCCCGAAUUGGAACUGAGACACGGUCCAAACUCAUACGGUAGGGGGCAGUGUGGAAUAUUGGUCAAUGGCCGGUAGCCUGAACCAGCCAAGAAGCGUGAAGGAUGAAGGCUUAUGGGUCGUUAACUUCUUUUAGAUGAGAAUAUGUAUUAUAUGAAUAAGGAUCGGCUAACUGCGUGACAGCCGCCGCGAUAAC